rnacentral:lncRNA from 1 species
AUCAGUGUAUAUAAAAAUAUAUGUAUGAACUUAUCAGUGCAUAAGGGUGCAUGUGUGUACACAUAUCAGCGCAUAUAUCACUGAUUAUCAGUUUAUACAAUUAAUAUCAUAUAUGUACAUGGAUUUAUAUACAACACAGACACAGACAUGCAUGUUGUAUAUGGAUUAAUGCAUACGAUAUGUUUAUGCGUGUAUAUAUACACUUGCUUGUUAUCAGUUAUAUGCAAUUGUCAAUGUAUAUGAUCAUUAAAAUACUACAUAUAUACAGUGCACAACACUACACAUAUAUACGUGGUAUUUGGACUGAUGUGUACAUUUAUACGAUAUGUAUAUAAUGAUGUGUUUAUGCGUGUAUAUAUAUAGUUCUUUGCUAUCAGUUAUAUACAAUAAUCUAUAUAUAUAUAUAUUGAUAUGCAUACAUGCAUGCACCCUCACGUCUUGAUAAGUGCAUAUAUACAGUGUAUGUGUAACUAAUACAUAUAUUUUAUAUAUACUGGUAUAUAUGACCAUAAAGACACUUAUUAGCAGUUAUAUAUAUAUAUAUAUAUAUAUACACUUGCUAUCAGUUAUACACACUGAUAUGCGCAUGCACAUGCGCCCCUACGCAUUUGUACAUACAUUUAUAAAGUGUUUCUAAAUACACUAAUGUAUAAGACCGUCUAUAUACUUAUUAUACACAGUCUUAGCACAGUUAUUAGCAUAAUUUGUAUACGUAUUGAUUUAUAAAAAUAUGUGUCAUUGUAUUAAGUGAAUAUAUAUAUAUAUACUGAUACAUAUAACCAUACACUACAUUAAUUAUCAGUUAUAUAUACAAUUAUUAGUGUAAAAGAUACAUUUAUAUGUGUGUGAGGUCAGUAUAUAUACGCUAAUAACUGUAUAAACUGAUAUAAAUGUCUAUAUGGUCAUAGAUAUCAGUAUAUAUAGAAAUGUAUGUCUGCACUACCAAUACGUAAGCGUGCAAGUAUGUGCACAUAUCAGUGUUUAUAAACACCUGGAUAAUUGUAUAUAACUGAUAGCAAGCAACUAUAUACAUACUCUUAUAAACAUAUUAGUAUAUACAUAUCGUAUAUACACACAUAUCAGUCCAUCUAUAACAUGUAAAUAUCUGUAGUAUAUAAAUCUGAGUGUGAGUGUGUGUGGUGUAAGUGUUAGUGUCAGUGUGUGUGAGUAUGAGUGUGUAAGUGUGAGUGUAAAUGAACGUGAGUGUGUAGUAUAUAAAUCAGUGUACCUAUACGUUAAUAACUGUAUAAACUGAUAAUAAGUGC